rnacentral:rRNA from 1 species
CCAAGGAUGUUUUCAUUAAUCAAGAACGAAAGUUAGGGGAUCGAAGACGAUCAGAUACCGUCGUAGUCUUAACCAUAAACGAUGCCGACCAGCGAUUAGGAGACGUUGAAUACAAAACACCGCCGUUNAUCCUUUCGGGGG